rnacentral:rRNA from 1 species
AGACUGCAGUGCCAGCAGCCGCGGUAAUACGGAGGGUGCAAGCGUUGUUCGGAAUUAUUGGGCGUAAAGCGUGCGUAGGCGGAUUGUUAAGUCUGGUGUGAAAUCCCUCGGCUCAACCGAGGACGUGCAUUGGAUACUGGCAGUCUUGAGUCCUGGAGAGGAGAGCGGAAUUCCUAGUGUAGAGGUGAAAUUCGUAGAUAUUAGGAGGAACACCAGCGGCGAAAGCGGCUCUCUGGACAGUGACUGACGCUGAGGCACGAAAGCAUAGGUAGCAAACAGGAUUAGAUACCCUGGUAGUCUAUGCCGUAAACGAUGGGUACUAGUCGGUGCGGGUAUUGACCCCUGCGCUGACGAAGCUAACGCAUUAAGUACCCCGCCUGGGGAGUACGGCCGCAAGGCUAAAACUCAAAGGAAUUGACGGGGGCCCGCACAAGCGGUGGAGCAUGUGAUUAAUUCGACGCAACGCGCAGAACCUUACCUAGCCUUGACAUGGUUAGCGUACGGCCCCAAAAGGGUCCGACCUUCGGGAACGGCUUACCCAGGUGCUGCAUGGCUGGUCGUCAGCUCGUGUCCUGGAAAUGUUGGGUUAAGGUCCUGGCAACGAAGCCGCACCGCCUAUCCUUAAGUUACCAAGCGAUUCCCGGUCG